UACGUAGGGUGCAAGCGUUGUCCGGAAUUAUUGGGCGUAAAGAGCUCGUAGGCGGCCUGUCGCGUCGGCUGUGAAGACUCGGGGCUCAACUCCGAGCUUGCAGUCGAUACGGGCAGGCUAGAGUUCGGCAGGGGAGACUGGAAUUCCUGGUGUAGCGGUGAAAUGCGCAGAUAUCAGGAGGAACACCGGUGGCGAAGGCGGCGACCUGGUCCGAUACUGACGCUGAGGCGCGAAAGCGUGGGGAGCAGACAGG
rnacentral:rRNA from 1 species